GUGUCAGCCGCCGCGGUAAUACGGAGGGGGCUAGCGUUAUUCGGAAUUACUGGGCGUAAAGCGCACGUAGGCGGCUUUGUAAGUUAGAGGUGAAAGCCUGGAGCUCAACUCCAGAAUUGCCUUUAAGACUGCAUCGCUUGAAUCCAGGAGAGGUGAGUGGAAUUCCGAGUGUAGAGGUGAAAUUCGUAGAUAUUCGGAAGAACACCAGUGGCGAAGGCGGCUCACUGGACUGGUAUUGACGCUGAGGUGCGAAAGCGUGGGGAGCAAACAGGAUUAGAAACCCGAGUAGUCC
rnacentral:rRNA from 1 species